GGGCUUGUGGUUUAGUGGUAUAAUACUCCCUUAGCAUUAAGAUGUCUUCUUCUGAAGAUACCGAGUAACUGGGAGUGGUCCGGGGUUCGAUUCCCCGCGAGUCCA